UACGUAGGGGGCAAGCGUUGUCCGGAUUUAUUGGGCGUAAAGCGCGUGUAGGCGGCCAGGUAGGUCGGUUGUGAAAAUUGGAGGCUCAACCUCCAGACGCCGGUGGAAACCAUCUAGCUAGAGUCCGGAAGAGGAGAGUGGAAUUCCUGGUGUAGCGGUGAAAUGCGCAGAUAUCAGGAAGAACACCCGUGGCGAAGGCGGCUCUCUGGUACGUGACUGACGCUGAGACGCGAAAGCGUGGGGAGCGAACAGG
rnacentral:rRNA from 1 species